rnacentral:sRNA from 1 species
CUCCACUCCACGACCUCUCUCUCUGCAUCACCACCUUUUAAUCCUCCUCCUCCUCCUCCUCCUCCUCCUCCCCCUCCUCCUCUCCCUCUCCCCUCUACUAUGACAAAUAAUGUUCCCCCCCCAAGCUCCGGCGGUGGAGCUCCUCCGAUUUCCUACCCCUCAGGGCCGUCCUUCUCGUCCAUUCCCCGUCGUUCCUCGUACGCUUCUGUUGUCUCCGGCACCGCUGCUCUAGCCAACUCCACGACAUCCAACCCCAACUCCACCACCAAUAACAUAUCUACAGCUGCCAAUACAGCCGCCGACUCCCUAAAUCCGGCUUCGACCCAGCAACUCCUACGCCACCAGCAGCAGCUCCUCCAACUACAGCUGCAACUCCACCAUCAACAACAGCAUCCGUCGGCCUGGUCAGGUCAACCCCCUCCGUCCUUCCUAUCCUCUGCUUCCGCGUCCGCCACCCCAAGCAACUCGUACCCCCCGCACUACGUUCCCCUGGAUUCCAGAGCAGCGAGCAGCACCAGACUUUCCUGGCUCGAUAAUAUCCACUACAACAACAGCAACAUGCAGACGAACGGUGGUAGUAGCGCGGGGGGAGGAGGGGUUGCAGGUGGGCCAGCAGGAAGCGGAUGGCGGAGGUCCCUCCCUCCCUCCGGCACAGCAACCACUCCUGCACCUAUAUCAGCUCUCCCGCUUUACUCGCGGCAGUUCGCAACUUACCCAGACUAUUACUCGCCUUCUUCGUCGUCCUACCCGGGUUUCCUGCAUGGCUCUGCUGCUCCCCCCUUCUUCACCCCCUCCUAUCUCAAAAACUCGAAAUACAUAGCCCAGCUCGCCGCAGCUCAUAGGUCAAAUGCCCUCAAUGCCGUUUCCUCAUCCUCCUCCUCCUCCUCAGCCGUAGCAGGAUCGACUACUCAGAAGGACUCCAAUGCAAACCACGCCUCAACCUCCACCUCCGCAAACGCCGCCAAUAAUGCAGUCGGCACCAAUACCAAUACCAAUGCUAACACCUCCAGUGCCACUACCAUAACACCAGGCGGACCCUCUCUCUCCGCUAGCUCCAGUAAUGUAAACCUCCACCGCCUCGCCCCGUCCCACCGUGGCAUGACUCACGAGAUCAUCGAGCAUCCCCCGUCAUCAUCGGACGAUGACAACCUUCUCGUCAUGCCCCUGCCCUCCCGCUGGAGUGACCAGCAUAAGAAUGCGGGCCUGGACCUGCUGAAUGAUGGAUUGGAGGUACGCUACUUGGGUAACCCGCUUAAGCUUGAUCAUGAAGCUGCGGCGUGCCGGGCAGACCAUCCCAUGCCCCCACAGUGUGGCAUAUAUUACUUUGAGGUUACGAUUUUGUCGAAACCGAAGGAUGGGAUGAUAUGCGUGGGCUUCACAAGCAAUAAAGCAUCUCUCGAACGAUUGCCGGGCUGGGAGCAGGAAUCCUGGGCUUACCACGGCGACGAUGGCAGGACUUUCUUCGGCGAGACGCAGGGCCAGGGCAAAUUGUAUGGCCCCAAGUAUUCUGUGAAUGACACCAUUGGCUGUGGGGUGAAUUUCUCGACGAAUACCUCUUUUUUUACAAGGAAUGGGGUUUUUCUUGGUAAUGCGUUCCGGGAAUUGCGGAAUGUGAAACUAUACCCUGCGGUUGGUGUGAAGAAGCAACCCACGACGCAUCUAAAGGCGAAUUUUGGCCAGUUUCCUUUUGUAUAUGAUAUUGACGGGUUGAUGGAGAGAGAGAAACUCAACGUUCAAGCGGAGAUAAGGGCUACUAAUAUUUCCAAUUUACAUUCCUCCCCCGAUGAGAGCACGUUUAUCCAGGAGCUUGUGGCUCAAUUUUUGGCGCAUGGCGGAUAUGUGGAGACCGCACGCGCCUUUGCUGAAGAGGUCAGGGAGGAGUCGCGGGCUUUGCAGAAUGGGCAGGAAACGCCGUUGAGAUAUUGCCAGGCAGAGGAGGAUGUUGAUGCUAUUAACCGCCAGAAAAUCCGCACUGCCAUUUUGGACGGCGAUAUCGACAAAGCUUUGAAAUUCACAAAUGCCUCAUACGCUAACGUCCUUCGGGACAAUCCACAAAUAUACUUUCGUCUCCGCUGUCGGAAGUUCAUCGAGAUGAUGCGUCGCUGCACUGAACCACAGCCUAUUUCCCCAUCGACGUCCAAGCAGGCAGCCCGCUCAUCCAAUGGUGCUACUGCUGUAUCUGUACACGAUACCAGCGACGACGUCUUCGUGCAUGAUAUGGAGCUAGACGAGCAUAUGAAUGAUGUCCUGGAUGAUGGUCAUGAUUCUUCGGAAUCCGAUGGGAGAGAUCACGACCAUUAUGAUGACCAAGACCCAGACCUCGAUGACGAUGACGACGACGAAGAAAACGGCAUGGAUGUCGAAGAAUCCGCCGACUAUAACACCUCAGUAUCGACAACAAAUGCAGCAAGCUACCACGACCUCCUCCACGAAGCGAUCCUGUACGGCCAAGAACUGCAAGCCGACUACCCCGGUGACCAGCGGCGGGAGUAUAAGCGGGCGCUGGACGAUAUCUUUUCACUAGUCGCAUACCCGGAUCCCAAGUCGAGUGUGCACGGGCAUUUGCUGGAGCCGAGCGGACGCGUUCCGGUAGCGGAGGAGUUGAAUUCGGCGAUUUUGGUAUCCCUCGGCAAAUCCUCCUCUGCCGCUCUUGAGAAACUAUAUCAACAGACUGAGGUUCUGGUGAAUGAGAUCAGCGAGGAUGGCGGCGCGGGGGCGUUUAUUAACGUGCGGAAUGAUUUUGUGAUAUAGUUUAAUCUAGCGGACGGCGGACGAUCAGCCAUACAUGCGCAUAUUUGUCGUUCCUACACACUCAGAUCUUGCUCAACCCUGGCAGAACACGUGUGUGUGCGCAAGCGUCCGUCCAUCCUUGCGUCUGUGAUGUGUCUGUCUAUGUGUGUGUGUGUGUGUGCGUGUUUUAUUUAUUUUUCUUUUUUCUCUUGAGUUAUUAUUAUCCCUUUCAUAUGAUUUCAUCCCAGUGUCAUCUCUUCCCCUCCACUAGCGCAGUUCUGUCAUUUCCUUCUAUUAAAGUUGUCAUAGUUUCAUAUCCAUAUACUCAUUAUUAUUAUUAUAUUCCGCUUAACAGUUUCUCUCUCUCUCUCUUUUCUUUCUCUCCUCCCCUCUCUUCUCGUUCCGUCUCUUCUCCUUUUUUCUUGUUAUUUCUUAUCUUUCCCUCCCCCCCUCCCCUCUCCUCCUCUCCUUUACUCCCCACCAUUUAUCUCAUAUGUAUCUCUUGAAAAAUCUCGUGAUCUUAGUUACUCAAGAGUCCAUGCCCGUGUUCGUUUUCAUUUUCGUAUUUUUAAGUGUUCCGUAGGUAUGAAUGAGAAAAAGAAAGAGAAAAAGGAGGGCCGAGGGAGGGGGGCGGUUGUUGACAGCGUUUAUUUUUAUUUCUAAUGAGAUAUAUAUCAUAUAUCUCAUAUAUAUACCCUCCCUUUUGCUGGGGAUAUCAAGCUGAUAUAACUAAACAAGAGAGAGAGAGAGAGAGAGGCCUGCAUCUGCAAUGUGCAUACAGCAAUUGAUAAAUAGUUAGAAUUAAAAAAAAAAAAAUGUGGGAGAUAGGCAGGGCAAGACGAGGAGGGAUUAUUAAAUGCACACCUUCCUUGUGAUUCUUUUGGAG